GUGAAAAUGUGGCUGCUGCUCAAGGGCCAACUCUGAUUUCACCUGGAAUUGCCAACCAAUGGCUCUGUUUUCACCGACGAAAGCCAACAUAGGCUUACGUUUUACCCACAAGCAACCUCUCCACUCUAGUUUUUUCUUGUACCCUGGUGGUCCUUUUGACUAUUAGUAGUUCACUACUUGGGAAAUAAUUCAAAUCAUAAAUGAAUAUUCCAUCUUUUUUUUUUUCCUGCUACCAUUUAUUUUGUAUAUUCAUGCCUAUUCCUUAUUUUGGAGCUAAUUUGUUCAAUCUCCAUUCGAUAAAUGGUUGUCAUGGCUUUUCGUGGAAUGCAUGUGUCAUAUCAUUAUUCAGGAUUGUCCCAACUAUUUGGCAUUGGCUAUUGAAUGCGUCUGUUUCUUCGUGCUUGUGGUGGUGAGCAUCUUCUUUGUUGCAUCUCAUAUAUGACGAGUGAACUGUGACAUUCUGUUUGAAGCUCAACUUUAGGGAACUAUUCAGGACCACCUACAAAUAUUCAACAUUAAGAUGAAGGCAAAAAUGAAAUCACAUCAGAUGCCUGAGCAGGUUGUGUUUUGGAAGUGGAUUACGCCAAAGAUGUUGGGGCUGGUCACACAAACAUCAGUGUAUCAUUGGUCAAUAGAAGGUAAUAUUGCAUUUUUCUUUUCGUACAAGGGUUCUUUUGAACUACAUUCAGUUUCUCGCUUUUCUUUUUUGAUAGAUCAAUUUAUAUUUCAGUUAGGAACUUCCAUUACAUUGUUGAAUUGCUGGCUUUAAAAUUUACAAAACUUAUUUGUAGGUGAUUCAGAGUGUAUAAAGAUUUGUUUCAGAUAUUUUGAUAUGUAACCAUGUGCUAAUAUUUGUUAUAUGUUCUGUACUUUAAUUCACAGAAACUGUUCAAUUAA